GAGUUUGAUCGUGGCUCAGGGUUAACGCUGGCGGUGCGCAUAACACAUGCAAGUCGAGCGAGGGCUUAUUUCUCGCAAGAGAGAUGAGUUCCUAGCGGCGAACGGGUGAGUAACACGUGGGCAACCUUUCCUAUCGCGGGGGAUAACACCGGGAAACCGAUGCUAAUACCGCAUGUCGUCACUGAUCGCAUGGUUGGUGAAGAAAGCAGCAAUGCACGAUGGGGUGGGCCCGCGGCCUAUCAGCUAGUCGGUGGGGUAACGGCCUACCGAGGCGAUGACGGGUAGCUGGUCUGAGAGGACGGCCAGCCACACGGGGGACUGAGACACGGCCCCGACUCCUACGGGAGGCAGCAGUGAGGAAUCUUCCGCAAUGGGCGAAAGCCUGACGGAGCGACACCGCGUGUGGGAUGAAGUCUUUCGGGAUGUAAACCACUGUCGGAGGGAAGACAAAAAAGACGGUACCCUCCAAGAAAGCCCGGCUAACUACGUGCCAGCAGCCGCAGUAAG
rnacentral:rRNA from 1 species